AUUGAACGCUGGCGGCAGGCCUAACACAUGCAAGUCGAACGAGUGGCGGACGGGUGAGUAAUGUAUGGGAAACUGCCUGAUGGAGGGGGAUAACUACUGGAAACGGUAGCUAAUCCCGCAUACCAUCAAAUUUACCCAGAUGGGAUUAGCUUGUUGGGGGGGUAACGGCUCACCAAGGCGACGAUCCCUAGCUGGUCUGAGAGUAUGACCAGCCAACCUGGAACGGGGACACGGUCCAGACUCCUACGGGAGGCAGCAGUGGGGAAUAUUGCACAAUGGGCGAAAGCCGGAUGCAGCCAUGCGGCGUGUAUGAAGAAGGCCUUCGGGUUGUAAAGUACUUUCAGCGGGGAGGCGUUACCCGCAGAAGAAGCACCGGCUAACUCCGUGCCAGCAGCCGCGGUAAUAC
rnacentral:rRNA from 1 species